ACAGGGUGCCGGCGCUGCAGAAAUGCUGUCACUGCAUGCACUGUAAGGCUCCAAAAACGACCAGAGGUAGAAAGUGAGCGUUCUGUAGCCUUGUGUUUUCUCCUAAGGGCUUUUGGCUGAAGUGUGCGAGACGUAACUGCGUGUGGAAAGUCAUCUCUUGCACUUGACCGGCUGCUUGUUGCCUGGCUUAGAACGCAUUUCAUGGUCAGUGGAAAAAAAUGAGGAAGAGGAGGGUGUGGCUGCUGCUUAGAGAAGUUGGCUGUGCAUGCAGGGACUGGCUUUGGGGUUGUGAUCCUUCAACCCACAGAAGGAAGACUUCUCCUAGAUCCUUAUAAAACAUAUUGAAAUUCACGGGUUCCUGCUAUGAAGAAGCUUGCAAACAAGGAAAGUCACUUCUCAGGUGUCCUGAGGAGGAACCUUUCGCAUCCUGCAUGUUGCUUGAGGAUGCAUGGCAAGCAGAAGACAGAGGAAGGGGCAUGCUGUCUGGGUAUAAUGAGACCCCCAGAUUGCUUCAUCUGGAAUGAGACACUUCAAGUGUUAAUUCCUGUUGCUAGACACUAGAAAGCUACAUGUAUUAUUAUGGAUCCAAAAUAUGUUAAUUUGCACAAAUUAUCUAAGAACUGGAAGACACCCUUCCUCCUAUCUCAAAUAGUUAAUCUAGAUAACUCCUGUACCCUGCUGGUUUAGGACCUUGUUUUGGAGCCUGGCACUCCUGGGCCUCCUUAGAAAGUCUGCUGACAUGGGUAAUCUAGUGCUCGCUUUCAACUGCAUCUAGCCCAUGAGGAGUCUGUCUGUGGUACUAAGCUCCCUGCUCCAAAGACUUUGGUCAGCAUGGCACCCCUGCCUGGCCUUAAUCAUAUUCUCUUCUGGAGCCCCUAGCAAUGCUUAGCUUCUUCAGAAGUGCACCUGCCUGAUGGUAGAGGGGAAGAUAUUUUAGUGUAAGCCACUCAAUUCACAUGCUCUUUUCCUCCCAUCCUGGCUGAGUAACUGGUGUUAACACUUAGAUCCUGGUAAGCAGUAUCACCACAGAUAAGGAAGCCUACACAUGAAGCCUUGCUUCUGUUGAUAAAUCUCAUAUUAAUAAUAUUGUCCCAGGAUACUGUAAACGAGUUGCUAACAGAAAGCUUAACAGCAAAAGUAAGUGCUUAUUUAACCUGAUUAAGCCCAGAUAGUGGCAUGCAUCAUUUCUAAUAGGCAGCAUAUUUUUCCUUUAUUUUCCUCUGUUUCUUUUUUACCAGUGAAAAUCCUGGAGCUGGCCAUUAUGUUCUCCAGCAUCAGGUAUUUUUCCUGCAUAUUUGUAUACUGUGAAAUAUUUUAAGAUUUACAUUUAUGAUAUCUACAAAAUAUUACAGUUUUUAAACUGUUUUAAGACCCAAACAAUAUUAUAAAUCAGCUUAGAACUUUCCCAGAAAUGUUGAAAACAAAGCAUUCUGAGGUGGUAGUUUUCACUUGAAAUGUUUUGAUAACUUCAAAACAGUUCAAUAACUGUGCAGCAAUUAGCCUGGUUUUGGGAGGAAGACUACAUGGAUUUUGUAUGUAUUUUUGCUCAGGAAAUAAUAUGCCAUUGAGCCUUGGCGGCUGAAGGUGUCUCUAUGUUUGAAGAAGUGGAAGAAAAAAAAAGAAAAAGUGGAAUGAU
rnacentral:lncRNA from 7 species